rnacentral:rRNA from 2 species
AACACGUGGGCAACCUGCCUAUAAGACUGGGAUAACUUCGGGAAACCGGAGCUAAUACCGGAUACGUUCUUUUCUCGCAUGAGAGAAGAUGGAAAGACGGUUUACGCUGUCACUUAUAGAUGGGCCCGCGGCGCAUUAGCUAGUUGGUGAGGUAAUGGCUCACCAAGGCGACGAUGCGUAGCCGACCUGAGAGGGUGAUCGGCCACACUGGGACUGAGACACGGCCCAGACUCCUACGGGAGGCAGCAGUAGGGAAUCUUCCGCAAUGGACGAAAGUCUGACGGAGCAACGCCGCGUGAACGAAGAAGGCCUUCGGGUCGUAAAGUUCUGUUGUUAGGGAAGAACAAGUACCAGAGUAACUGCUGGUACCUUGACGGUACCUAACCAGAAAGCCACGGCUAACUACGUGCCAGCAGCCGCGGUAAUACGUAGGUGGCAAGCGUUGUCCGGAAUUAUUGGGCGUAAAGCGCGCGCAGGUGGUUCCUUAAGUCUGAUGUGAAAGCCCACGGCUCAACCGUGGAGGGUCAUUGGAAACUGGGGAACUUGAGUGCAGAAGAGGAAAGUGGAAUUCCAAGUGUAGCGGUGAAAUGCGUAGAGAUUUGGAGGAACACCAGUG